GGGAGUACAUCUCAGUGGUAGAGCAUUCGACUAUAAAUCGGGAUGUCACCGGUUCAAGCCCGGGUGCCCCCU